GAUGAACGCUAGCUACAGGCUUAACACAUGCAAGUCGAGGGGAAACGACAUCGAAAGCUUGCUUUUGAUGGGCGUCGACCGGCGCACGGGUGAGUAACGCGUAUCCAACCUGCCCACCACUUGGGGAUAACCUUGCGAAAGUAAGACUAAUACCCAAUGACGUCUCUAGAAGACAUCUGAAAGAGAUUAAAGAUUUAUCGGUGAUGGAUGGGGAUGCGUCUGAUUAGCUUGUUGGCGGGGUAACGGCCCACCAAGGCGACGAUCAGUAGGGGUUCUGAGAGGAGGGUCCCCCACAUUGGGACUGAGACACGGUCCAAACUCCUACGGGAGGCAGCAGUGAGGAAUAUUGGUCAAUGGGCGAGAGCCUGAACCAGCCAAGUAGCGUGCAGGAUGACGGCCCUAUGGGUUGUAAACUGCUUUUAUAAGGGAAUAAAGUGAGUCUCGUGAGACUUUUUGCAUGUACCUUAUGAAUAAGGACCGGCUAAUUCCGUGCCAGCCGCCGCGGUAA
rnacentral:rRNA from 1 species